rnacentral:rRNA from 1 species
UACAGAGGUCUCAAGCGUUGUUCGGAUUCAUUGGGCGUAAAGGGUGCGUAGGUGGCGCGCUAAGUCAGGUGUGAAAUCUCGGGGCUUUAACUCCGAAACUGCAUUUGAUACUGGGCGUGCUUUGAGGACUGGAGAGGAGACUGGAAAUUUUACGGUGUAGCAGUGAAAUCGUAGAGAUCUAAGGAAGACCAGUGGCGAAGG